ensembl:lncRNA
CUGAACUUGGACUCAGACAGGGACACCGCCCACACAUGCACACCCACCAGGCCUGGGGCUGAGCCUGGCGAGCCUACCUCGGCCCCACCAGCUCUCCUGGGAUCCAGGUGGGGAGUUGGUGGUAGAAACGGCCCCCGGGAGCGAUUCCUGGCCAGUGACCUUGGGCGCCCUGGCUGUGGACUUGAGUUCUGCCUGUUCCCUGAUCCACUCAUGUUCUCAGGGAGCCCAGCCUCCCUUCCCCACCCAAGGCCCUGACCUGCUGGAACCUCUGCCACAGCUUAGAACGCAAACUCCACCUGAGUUUGACCCGUGCUGAGCUGCUUCAGUUGUGUCCAACUCUUUGUGACCCUAUGCACUGUAGCCCACCAGGCUCCGCUGUCCAUGGGAUUUCCCAGGCAAGAAUACUGCGGUGGGUUGCCAUUUCCUCCCCCAGGGGAUGUUCCUGACCCCGGAAUUGAACCUACAUUGCUUAUGUCUCCUGCAUUGGCAGGCAGUUUCUUUACCACUAGCGCCAUCUGGGAAGCCCUGAGUUUGGCACAAGGUCCAGAUAGAGCUAAUUAUUGCAGAGCAAAAAACAGACUUGACUCUGAGAUGACGAGUGAUUAGUGAGUGAUUAAAAAAAAUAAUAAUAAAUCUCAGCCUGGCCUCCUCAACCAACCCAGGCCAGGGCGGUCCCAAACUUCUCUUUGUAUGAAAAUCCAACUGUAUUUUAAUAGUGGGUUGAGGAAAUCAAAAAGCAGGAUUUGAAGGAUAAAGUUGCUAAGUGUGCUAUCCUUUCCCGCUAGUCACCGGCAGCACUUGUGGGACUGUCCCAGGUAUGUCUGGGCACCACUAGUGAUGCCAGACUGGGUACCAUGCAUGACGUGAUAAGACCAUCACUCAGAGAUAGAGGGUUUGGGACUAGGGAGGCCGAGAUAAACCACAGUUUAACUGGAAUGCAAUGAGUGCCCUGGAAAACCCAUUUCUCUGGGCCUUAUUUCAUCCUUCAGAAAGGCCGUAUCAUCCUGGGCCUCCCCUGGCAAGCUCGCCUCUCACAAGGCUGUGGCUCAGCUGCUCCAGGUCUUGUGUGCGGGACAGAAGUGAGGUCUGAGGCCAACAUCACACACCUUGGCCGCCACAGAGGAGCUGGGGGACCCUUCCCUCACUGGGCGGCCAGACCUGAGGCCCUAGGGAAACCUGUGACCAGAGCCGCGUCCCUUGUGAACAGAAACGAGAUGUGUGAAACCAGGCCUCGCUCCCUGCUCCUUCCUUCUCUACUCAGUGAUGGUUUCUUCUGCAGAAGUCUCUCCCUUCCCAGCUCCUGAAUGGUCCUGCUCUGCCUCCUGUUGGGGCUGAACCGGGACGCUCAGAAUCCUUGUGCUGAAGCCCUGCCACUCAGGGUUUUGGAGACAGGGUCUGUGAAGAGGUGGAAAGCAGGCCGUUAGGUGGCCCUGACCCACCUGACUGGUGUCCUUGGACGAGGAAGAGAUAAGGCCAAGGACAGGGCCUCUGGAGGAGCCACCCUGCUGAUGCCUGGACCUGGGCCUUCCCGCCUCUGGAAUGUCUGUCGUGAGCCUUCGCCUGCAGUGUUUGGAUGCUGGCAGCCCCAGUGAGUGAACAUGCCUGUUGACAGAGUGCCAUCUCUAAAGGGCGGAGGUUGCCUCUGAGGCUUAAAGGACACAACCACAUGGACUUCCCCUGGGGCCUGGCCACACGUUCUGUUUGUCUAGAGGCUCUGGAGAUAAAACACUGAGCAGCUGGC